ACUGACCCUGAAACGUUUGAAUGGUAGUGUGUAAAGAAAUAAUUUAAGACCUGUUUGAGUUUCAGUAGAGGUCAAGGAGUUCACUAAGGGAGGUGUGUCACCUCUGUUUUGUGAGAACUUGAGAAGAGCAGUAACACAAGUAGGUAUUUCACAUCUUACUUAACCAGUUGAACACUUUUGCUCAGGUGUCUUUUUACCUCACACAUUCCUAUUCUUUGCAGAAAAAACACUUUGUUGGGAAAGCCAGUCAUUUUUUGAUGCCCCGGGGCACAUGAAGGGUCAGGGGGUUAGUUAGGUGCCGUUCUCCCAGCAGUGGUUUCAGUGAAAACCUGGAGUCUCCCAUUUGUUGUACAGACCUCUUGCCAUUUAGCCACCUGCCUCCAAUAAAGAAAAGCAAGCAGCCGGCAAACUUCAGCACUUGCCUCGGGCAGUGUUAUUGAUCGGGUGGGGGGAAGUUCUUUCCCUCCUCUCCUUCUGAUGAAGGCCGGACUUUGGUCUGAGCUGCAUUCCUGGGUUCUGUUCAGCUCGGAGGCAGAAGGGAGGGAGGAUGUGGAGGGGAGGAGGGACCCAGGGGCUGGAAAUCACUUGUCAUGUGCGUAUAAAAGUGUGCCUUUCGUUUCAGAGCAUGCUCACAGAGGCACGCUCAGCUCCCACCAAAUCCAGCCCCCAAAUUUGAACGGGAGGGAGGGGAAGUUACAGCGCUGACUCUUGUGUUGUUGUACUCUGUGUCUGUUUGGCUCCCACCCUGCGUGGCUCCUUCUGCACCUAUGGCUCUACGGUUGAAAAGGUGAACGCGGAUUUCUCUGGAAAAGAUGGACGGCAUUGACAGGAAGCCAUGUGAGAUGACUGGAGAGGAGAAGAACAAGUAUGGGGCCCUUUGUUACCAUGCUGAGAGAGACUGAUCGGGGGUUAAUUGAAAUAUGCACCCACAAGAUUUGUGGCACGAAGUACAAAGUCAUCAUUCAAAUGUAAGUAUGUGGGUUUUUUUUUCUGUGCACAUCCAUUACUGAUAUUUGCAGGCAUCAAUUGGAUGCCUUUAAUAGCUGCUUGUGUAAACAAAUAUUUGGCACAUGGAGAAAAUACAAAACUUGCGUUUGCCUGCAGCUGUUUUUAUUCUCUACUCAUCAGCCUUGAAACACAGCAGCUGACCCACCACCAGCUGCUCAACACACACACACACACACACACACACACACACACACACACACACGUACGCUGACAUACAAACUUAAAGACUGACUAACCAAAUUGAAGUCUCUACAGAAAUCAGAGUUGUAUUGAUGUGAAAAAUAGCAAUCCACCACCAGAAGUGCUGAGGUACAGGUAACAAAAAAUCUUAGUCACUUUAUAUUUCAGAAUUGUGACAUUAUAUUUCACACUGGGACAUAUUUCACAAUAUGAUCUUACAAUCACCUGUAUAACUGUUUCAUGUAUAACUGAUAAUAUUAAGAAAUUCUUGUUGAAAAGUCCAGCAUAUGCUGGUUAGGUAUGUUUUGAAGCAUGGCUGCUGGUUUGAGCUGAUUUAAGCUGGUCCUGAGCAGGAGCU